rnacentral:misc_RNA from 1 species
UCCGAGUUGUCCCCGGCAGUCCUCUUAGAGUCCCCGACAUAACUCGCUGGCAACUAAGAGCAGGGGUUGCGCUCGUUGCGGCACUUAAGCCAACACCUCACGGCACGAGCUGACGACAGCCAUGCAGCACCUGUCACUCAUCCAGCCGAACUGAAGGAAACCAUCUCUGGAAUCCGCGACCGACAUGUCAAACGCUGGUAAGGUUCUGCGCGUUGCUUCGAAUAAAACCACAUGCUCCACCGCUUGUGCAGGCCCCCAUCAAUUUCUUUGAGUUUUAACCUUGCGGCCGUACUCCCCAGGCGGAUAACUUAAUGCGUUAGCUGCGCCACCGAAAGCCUAAGGCCCCCGACAGCUAGUUAUCAUCGUUUACGGCGUGGACUAC